rnacentral:lncRNA from 1 species
CCUCUGACUGUGGUGGAGCAGCUCAGCAGGAUAAUAAGCUUACUCGCCUGACCUUGGGUCUCUCUCUCAUCCUUUCUCUUGGCUAACCUUCAUUUUGGUGCCAAAACCCAGGAAGGGGAUAGGCUCUGGCUGGGCGUCCUUAGAGGAUUCUCUCUCUCUCUCUCCUAUCAUCCCUUACCCAGCCAACCUCCCCUUCCCGAACCUGCUAAAGACCCUAAGGAUCUCCCAAAAUUCUCCCAUUGUUGGCCACCUCAUCCACCAUCAAAGCCUCUGAGAGGGUUUUUACAGGGCCGUGUUAGAGCCUUCACCCAUGGAACAGUACAAGACAUGAUGCUACUCCGAGAAUACCGACAGCUCCAGGAACAGCAGUCCCUACUACCCAGCCUCUCCCCCCAACCAUCGCCCCUAUCCAGCAAGAAGCAGCCAGAGGACAACGGCGCCCCUCUUCUAUUACCUAUUAAAAGGCUGGAAUGUUAGGAACAAGUUGCACCAGAACCCCUCCCCCUUCCCACCCGCCCCCGCACCCCCCCCCCCCCACCCAAUGCAGCUGUCCCUUACCCUGAAUACUCUGCAGCUGCAUUCCUGGACCCUUAUCUAGGCACUACAGCAAGGUCACCAGACUUGCUUACAGCCCUACGGGCAGCAUGGGGGAGGUCACGAGAAACGUGGAUAAACCUAAGUUACACCCUCUUGUAAAUUCCUAUAUUGUAACCUGGUCACGAGAUGAUAUGUGGUAAGGUUAACCAACAAACAACCCCAGGGUCUCUCUCCCCCAUAUAAAACCCUCAUUUUGUAAGCUCAGGGCUGCCUCCUUUGACUGUGGUGAAGCAGCCUGGCAGGACGCCAGCUUCCGAAUGAAGCGGAGUUUUUGUCUACCAGACCCAUCCCGACAGGGAAAGCAGGACUGAGUUUGUCGGAAGGUGAGCGGGGCUUGGCCAGAGACGGUGUGCGCUGAGGCAGCGGCCCUGGACAAGAGUGGCGUUUGGAUACUUGACGGUGAAAGGGGAAGAAGCCAGUCACCAGCUCCAAAGUCCAGGAACUACACCUGGCAAAGGUCAAAGCCUGCGAGACCUGCAGCCCCGCCUGCUUGCCCGCCCGGGCGAACUCUUCGUGGUAUAGCUCCCGCGCCAUGGCUCCUGCACGCGAUGCUCCGGGGGACGCGUGAUAUCGCUGAUCUUGGACUAAACCGAGAGCAGCAGGAGGAACCUUAUUCGCCGCCACUUUAUAGUGUUUGCCAUCCGGGGAGGCGGCGCCCUGAAACGGGAGGGGCUAAGUGCCCAGGCGCGAGUUGACAGAGGAGACGAUCGCUUCCCACGGGGAGCGCAGCGCUGGCUUCCAAGCUCCCACGCCUUGCCCCAGGCCAGGAGCGGAAUCGGCGUCCCAGAAGUCUUGAGAUUCAGAGGGAGUUUAUAGUAACUCGUGCCAAUGCCUCCUCCAAGGAAAGACAUUUUCUCUAGCAAUAGACGAAGAACAUUAACGGUUAAAACUGCUUGGCACUCCUUUGUGCAUACCCAUCACUACCGUCCUGCAUAUUUCCCCUUCUCUCGCUAAUCCUCUUAUUUCUGGAUCUCAGUUGUGCCUGGCAGGAGGGGUGAGGUGAGGAAAGAGCGCGCCAGCCCUGCAGAGUUGAGUCAGCGUUUACUCGGGUGGAGCAAUACCUGUUCUUUCUGGCCCUCUAGAAUAAUUCUUAGAACAAGGCUUCCUCUGCUAAUAGCAACACCUGCCGUUAGGCAGCAGAGGAGUGUGCCACAUUAGCAUGCUGGAAUAAUUUUAAUACAUCCUUCUUUAAAAA